AUUGAACGCUGGCGGCAUGCUUUACACAUGCAAGUCGAACGGUAACAGGCCUUCGGGUGCUGACGAGUGGCGAACGGGUGGGUAAUUCAUCGGAACGUGCCCAGAGGUGGGGGAUAACGCAGCGAAAGCUGUGCUAAUACCGCAUGGGAUCUGAGGAUGAAAGCGGGGGACCAGGCAGCAAUGUUUGGCCUCGCGCCUGGGGAGCGGCCGAUGUCAGAUUAGCUAGUUGGGGGGGUAAAGGCCUACCAAGGCGACGACCGGUAGCCGGCCUGAGAGGGUGGGCGGCCACAUUGGGACUGAGAGACGGCCCAGACUCCGACGGGAGGCAGCAGUGGGGAAUAUUGCACAAUGGGCGGAAGCCUGAUGCAGCAACGCCGCGUGCGGGAUGACGGCCUUCGGGUGGUAAACCGCUUUCGCCUGUGACGAAGCGUGAGUGACGGUAAUGGGUAAAGAAGCACCGGCUAACUACGUG
rnacentral:rRNA from 1 species